UUGGAGGGCAAGUCUGGUGCCAGCAGCCGCGGUAAUUCCAGCUCCAAUAGCGUAUAUUAAAGUUGUUGCAGUUAAAAAGCUCGUAGUUGAACCUCGGGAUCAAUGGGUCGGUCAUGCCCUCGGUAUGUACUGGCCUCAUUGGUUCUCACCUUCUAAGGAACCGUGAUGUCAUUCAUUUGAUGUUGCGGGGAAUUAGGACUGUUACCUUGAAAAAAUUAGAGUGUUUAAAGCAGGCCAACGCUUGAAUACAUUAGCAUGGAAUAAUGAAAUAGGACGUUCGAUCCUAUUUUGUUGGUUUCUAGGAUUGACGUAAUGAUUAAUAGGGAUAGUUGGGGGCAUUAGUAUUCAAUUGUCAGAGGUGAAAUUCUUGGAUUUAUUGAAGACUAACUACUGCGAAAGCAUUUGCCAAGGAUGUUUUCAUUAAUCAAGAACGAAAGUUAGGGGAUCGAAGACGAUCAGAUACCGUCGUAGUCUUAACCAUAAACUAUAGCCGAUAGGGAUCGGAUGAUGUUAAUUUUUAAUGACUCAUUCGGC
rnacentral:rRNA from 1 species